AACGAACGCUGGCGGCAUGCCUAACACAUGCAAGUCGAACGAGACCUUCGGGUCUAGUGGCGCACGGGUGCGUAACGCGUGGGAACCUGCCCUUAGGUUCGGAAUAACUCCCCGAAAGGGGUGCUAAUACCGGAUAAUGUCUUCGGACCAAAGAUUUAUCGCCUUUGGAUGGGCCCGCGUUGGAUUAGCUAGUUGGUAGGGUAAAAGCCUACCAAGGCGACGAUCCAUAGCUGGUCUGAGAGGAUGAUCAGCCACACUGGGACUGAGACACGGCCCAGACUACUACGGGAGGCAGCAGUGGGGAAUAUUGGACAAUGGGCGAAAGCCUGAUCCAGCAAUGCCGCGUGAGUGAUGAAGGCCUUAGGGUUGUAAAGCUCUUUUACCCGGGAUGAUAAUGACAGUACCGGGAGAAUAAGCUCCGACUAACUCCGUG
rnacentral:rRNA from 1 species